rnacentral:misc_RNA from 1 species
AUUUCCCAACAUUAUAAGCCUAUAAAUGCGAACCCCUCAUGGUAUAAUUUAGUAUACAACAGCGAAAGGGACUCUCAUGUAAAUCAACAUUAGGGAAAUGGAACAGAUAUUAGAAAGGGAUGUAAAAGCCACCUUCAAACAGCUUGAAAUUCAGCUUUGAGAAGGAACUGCUUCCUGCACAGCAGGAUUUGAAUUCCCAUCAUGAGUUUCAGCUCCAUAAGC